UCAGUGGGCCGGACGGUCGCGGCUGCAUUCGUGCAGGUGAGGAAAGUCCGGGCUUCACAGGGCAGGAUGCCGGAUAACGUCCGGUGGAGGCGACUCCAAGGCAAGUGCAGCAGAAAUAUACCGCCGGCCGUUUCGGUCGGUAAGGGCGGAAGGGCAGUGUAAGAGACUACCGCCGCUGCGGUAACGCAGCGGGCAUAUGUAAACCCCAUCCGAAGCAAGACCAAAAAGAAGCUAUGACGCGGCCCGCCAGCUUCAGGUAGGUUGCUUGAGCCUGUCGGCAACGGCAGGACUAGACAGAUGACCGUUCAAGACAUAACCCGGCUUACAGACCCGCUGAAUUU
rnacentral:RNase_P_RNA from 1 species